rnacentral:rRNA from 1 species
AUGUGCAAGGAAUCCGAGCAUUGUCACCUUGACAGCAGCCAGAGGCACAAUGGGCUACAUCGCACCAGAGCUAUAGCCUCGGAACUUUGGAGGGGUGUCAUACAAGUCGAAUAUGUACAGUUUCGGCAUGCUGGCACUGGAAAUGGUGAGUGGAAGGAGGAAAUCGGACCGAUUGUUCAGAACCAAGACGAGGUAUAUCUCCCGAAGUGGAUCUAUGAGAAUGUAAUCGGUCGGCACGAUUGGGAGCUUACUUUGGAAAUGACAACAGAAGACAAAGAAGAGAUUAGGCAGCUGGGUAUUGUGGGACAAGUUCUCAUUAUUCAUCUAGUGGAACCCAAAGAAUCGUCCUUCAAUGACAAAGGUGGUAAACAUGUUAACAGGAAGAUUGCAGAACCUGCAGGUUCCCCCCAAGCCCUUUGUCUCAUCUACAAAUAA